GACGAACGCUGGCGGCGUGCUUAACACAUGCCAGUCGAACGGAAAGGCCCUGCUUGCCGGGUACUCGAGUGGCGAACGGGUGAGUAACACGUGGGUGAUCUGCCCUGCACUUCGGGAUAAGCCUGGGAAACUGGGUCUAAUACCGGAUAGGAGCCAUUUUUAGUGUGAUGGUUGGAAAGUUUUUUCGGUGUAGGAUGAGCUCGCGGCCUAUCAGCUUGUUGGUGGGGUAAUGGCCUACCAAGGCGGCGACGGGUAGCCGGCCUGAGAGGGUGGACGGCCACAUUGGGACUGAGAUACGGCCCAGACUCCUACGGGGGGCAGCAGUGGGGAAUAUUGCACAAUGGGCGCAAGCCUGAUGCAGCGACGCCGCGUGGGGGAUGACGGCCUUCGGGUUGUAAACUCCUUUCGCUAGGGACGAAGCUUUUUGUGACGGUACCUAGAUAAGAAGCACCGGCUAACUACGUG
rnacentral:rRNA from 1 species